rnacentral:rRNA from 1 species
GACGAACGCUGGCGGCGUGCUUAACACAUGCAAGUCGAACGGAAAGGCCCUGCUUUUGUGGGGUGCUCGAGUGGCGAACGGGUGAGUAACACGUGAGUAACCUGCCCUUGACUUUGGGAUAACUUCAGGAAACUGGGGCUAAUACCGGAUAGGAGCUCCUGCUGCAUGGUGGGGGUUGGAAAGUUUCGGCGGUUGGGGAUGGACUCGCGGCUUAUCAGCUUGUUGGUGGGGUAGUGGCUUACCAAGGCUUUGACGGGUAGCCGGCCUGAGAGGGUGACCGGCCACAUGGGUACUGCGAUACGGCGCAGACUCCUACGGGAGGCAGCAGUGGGGAAUAUUGCACAAUGGGCGGAAGCCUGAUGCAGCAACGCCGCGUGCGUGAUGACGGCCUUCUGGUUGUAAACCGCUUUCGCCUGUGACGAAGCGUGAGUGACGGUAAUGGGUAAAGAAGCACCGGCUAACUACGUG